UUCUAUUCUCUCUGAAACUUUCAUGAUUAAAGAUAAAACUUUAACAUUGAAAUGAUCUUGUGGUCUCUCCUCAUGGUCUCAUCUCUUGAAACAUUUUACCUUUAAUCAUGUAAAUGUCGGUUUUCUGGCUUAAAUCUAAGAUUUCUAAGUCCGUUAUUUCCCUGAAAAUAUGUGAAAUUGUCUGAGUUUAGUCCUCCUUGUUUUCAUUCUUCUUAGCCUAAAUAUCAGUUUCAAUAAUUUACUGGCAGCUCAGAUCUUAGAUGGGAUAAAUGUAUUUAAAUGCAUCCUGGGUUGAAAACCUGAACCUCUGUAGUUCUCAUCCAGUCUCCUUUGUUCCUUGACUGAUGUCUCACAUGGAUACCGUAAACCCAAAGAUCAGCUGAGGUCGUGUCUGAAGAACGUGUCGGACCUGUUUGUGAUGGGAGGGGCUCUGAUCCUGGAGUCUACUGUGCUUCUGCGCUGGCUGGAGAGGGAAGGAUACUGGCCCCUGGGAAUGACCGGCAUCUCUAUGGGGGGAUAUAUGGCGUCCCUGGCGGUGACCAACUGGCCCAAACCCAUUCCUCUGAUUCCAUGUUUGUCGUGGUCCACUGCCUCCAGCGUGUUCACCACGGUAACACAACCUUCCUCACGUCAUGAAGAUGUAUGGGGGGAGUGGCGGCCUAGUGGUUAGAGCAUAGAGCUUGGAAUCCUGAGGUUCUGAGUUCCAGCC